GUCAAAUCUGAACAUUAUUUACGUUAAUCUAUGUGGAUCUCCAGAUUGUAUAUCUGGAGUGAGAAAAAUCUUUGUUACCUUUUUAUGAUGAAGGAAGAAUAAUACUAUGAUUAUAUGUAAACAGUAAAACUGAAACCAAGUUUAUUUUGUUCUUUGUAGCAAUUCCCUUGAUACGCCUCAUGUAGGGAAAAGUACUUAGGCUACUUUUAUAACAAAUCAUUCAGGUCAUUUCUGAGUGAACUAAAUAGUUUAAAAACAUUAUAGGUGUCAAGAAUUGUAUUUCUUAACUCAAAAUUAUCUUUCUUUGAGUUUCUCAUGUAUGUUUUUUUCAGAUGUGCUACUUGAACGCUUCAGUUUAUGCGAAGUGAGUGAUACUGUUGGAGAUUUCCUUGUUAAUUGAUUAAAUAAUCAGUGAUUCUAGAGAUUAACUUAUUGACUAAUGGUAUACUGUUUCCUCUUUAGACUAUUUCACUUGACUGUACUGAGUUUUCAUGAGUUUGUACAGCAUCAGCUGAAAUGGAGCCCUUGGAACAGGGCUAAACAAUACAGUUGCGCUAAUAAUGAAGAAUCUGUGAUCAGCCAUUGACAUUGUUGAAUGGGAGGUUGUUAUGCACUUCAUGCCCAUUAAGAAGACAGUAAACUGUUGAUUAUGAGCAUUCCGUAGUACACAUUUUUCUUACUAUACUGGUAUUCCAAAAGCAGCAGAAGUUAACCGAAAGCAGACAAUCCUAAUUGAAGUAGGCACCACUUCUGAC
ensembl:lncRNA